AUACGUAGGUGGCAAGCGUUGUCCGGAAUUAUUGGGCGUAAAGCGCGCGCAGGCGGUCCUUUAAGUCUGAUGUGAAAGCCCACGGCUCAACCGUGGAGGGUCAUUGGAAACUGGGGGACUUGAGUGCAGAAGAGGAAAGUGGAAUUCCAAGUGUAGCGGUGAAAUGCGUAGAGAUUUGGAGGAACACCAGUGGCGAAGGCGACUUUCUGGUCGGUAACUGACGCUGAGGCGCGAAAGCGUGGGGAGCAAACAGGAUUAGAUACCCUGGUAGUCCACGCCGUAAACGAUGAGUGCUAAGUGUUAGGGGGUUUCCGCCCCUUAGUGCUGCAGCUAACGCAUUAAGCACUCCGCCUGGGGAGUAAGGUCGCAAGACUGAAACUCAAAGGAAUUGACGGGG
rnacentral:rRNA from 1 species